rnacentral:rRNA from 1 species
AGCUCCAACAGCGUAUAUUAAAGUUGUUGCGGUUAAAAAGCUCGUAGUUGGAUUUCUGCUGAGGACAUCCGGUCCGCCCUCUGGGUGAGCAUCUGGCUUGACCUGGGCAGUUUCUUGGAGAGCGUGGCUGCGCUUGACUGCGUGGCACGGUGCUCAAGACUGUUACCUUGAGGAAAUUAGAGUGUUCGAAGCAGGCAUGUGUCUUGGAUACUGUGGCAUGGAAUAAUAUGACAAGGCACCGGCUCCGUUUUGUUGGUUUCUAGAGUUGAGGCAACGAUUAAUAGGGACAGUCAGGGGCAUUCGUAUCUAACUGUCAGAGGUGAAAUUCUUGGAUUUGUUAUAGACGAACCACUGCGAAAGCAUUUGCCAAGGAUGCCUUCG